AGCGAACGCUGGCGGCAGGCCUAACACAUGCAAGUCGAACGAUCCUUCGGGAUAGUGGCGGACGGGUGAGUAACACGUGGGAACGUGCCCUUUGGUUCGGAACAACUCAGGGAAACUUGAGCUAAUACCGAAUGUGCCCUUCGGGGGAAAGAUUUAUCGCCAUUGGAGCGGCCCGCGUCUGAUUAGCUAGUUGAUGAGGUAAUGGCUCACCAAGGCGACGAUCAGUAGCUGGGCUGAGAGGAUGAUCAGCCACACUGGGACUGAGACACGGCCCAGACUCCUACGGGAGGCAGCAGUGGGGAAUCUUGCGCAAUGGGCGAAAGCUUGACGCAGCCAUGCCGCGUGAAUGAUGAAGGUCUUAGGAUUGAAAAAUUCUUUCACCGGGGACGAUAAUGACGGUACCCGGAGAAGAAGCUCCGGCUAACUUCGUGCCAGCCGCCGCCGUAACAC
rnacentral:rRNA from 1 species